GAGGUUGUGGCUCAGUGGUACAGUGCUCGCCUAGCACGUAUGAGACCCUGGGUUCAAUUCUCAGCACCACA
rnacentral:tRNA from 1 species